AACUAUCGCAAAAUUGCGUUAUGAAAAUAAUGUGUUUACGGUUUUGACAGAUUAUUAAUGUCGACGUAUACGUAACCACAGCUGUCAUAAUAUAUACGUAACUUCGUAUUUUCACAUUGUGGAGAAUUUUUUCUGUUUCAUUAAUAAUGAAUCAUUAUUUUCUGUUCCCAUAGAAUGGUAUGGCGCUCAUUAGCGAGA